rnacentral:rRNA from 1 species
UACGUAGGGCGCGAGCGUUGUCCGGAAUUAUUGGGCGUAAAGAGCUCGUAGGCGGCCUGUCGCGUCGGUUGUGAAAGCCCGGGGCUCAACCCCGGGUCUGCAGUCGAUACGGGCAGGCUAGAGUUCGGUAGGGGAGAUCGGAAUUCCUGGUGUAGCGGUGAAAUGCGCAGAUAUCAGGAGGAACACCGGUGGCGAAGGCGGUUCUCUGGGCAUGAUCUGACGCUGAGGAGCGAAAGUGUGGGGAGCGAACAGG